GAAAAGCCCUAGCUUAAUUAAAGCGUUUGAGUUGCAUUCAAAAAAUGCAGGGUAGUAUCCUGCGGGUUUUA
rnacentral:tRNA from 1 species